rnacentral:rRNA from 1 species
UGGGGAAUUUUGGACAAUGGGGGAAACCCUGAUCCAGCCAUCCCGCGUGUGCGAUGAAGGCCUUCGGGUUGUAAAGCACUUUUGGCAGGAAAGAAACGUCGCGGGUUAAUACCCCGCGAAACUGACGGUACCUGCAGAAUAAGCACCGGCUAACUACGUGCCAGCAGCCGCGGUAAUACGUAGGGUGCAAGCGUUAAUCGGAAUUACUGGGCGUAAAGCGUGCGCAGGCGGUUCGGAAAGAAAGAUGUGAAAUCCCAGAGCUUAACUUUGGAACUGCAUUUUUAACUACCGGGCUAGAGUGUGUCAGAGGGAGGUGGAAUUCCGCGUGUAGCAGUGAAAUGCGUAGAUAUGCGGAGGAACACCGAUGGCGAAGGCAGCCUCCUGGGAUAACACUGACGCUCAUGCACGAAAGCGUGGGGAGCAAACAGGAUUAGAUACCCUGGUAGUCCACGCCCUAAACGAUGUCAACUAGCUGUUGGGGCCUUCGGGCCUUGGUAGCGCAGCUAACGCGUGAAGUUGACCGCCUGGGGAGUACGGUCGCAAGAUUAAACUCAAAGAAUGAUGGGUCAUAGCUG